UUAAUCUAAAGGUUUAUAUAUGUUGCAACUUCAUCACACAAUGGAGAGAAAUAUCUACAGCUCCAAAAAUAUCUCUGUUUGUGUACAACAGUAAAUACUAUAUCUACUCUUAGUUCCAAACAACAAAACUAUCUACACAGCUUUGCCUUCUUCCACAAGUUCAUAGCUCUAGACAUCGCUGCAGGGUUUGCUUGUAGACUGUGAGAAGUUUCGGAGACCAAGCUACUUCUGUUGCUGUUUCCCUUUGUGUCAAAUCCAUUGAACAAACUGAAUCCUUGCGUUUUUUUCUCGGGUUUUGUCGGUAACUUAGACCACACAGCGCUCUUACUAGCUUCGAUAUUCAUUCUAAGAGAUUCUGAGACCAAUCUUGCUCUUGUAGUAGUUAUUGUUGUAUUAGUAUCAUUGAUUCUUCCUUCAGUUUGAUCUCUUGACCGUUUUCCUAAACAUGAUGAAGUCUCUGAGGUAGGGUAUAUCGGAACCGUGCAUCCCCAGUAGAAGGGGACAGGGUAGAAACUAGCGUUAGGACCCGUUGGACUCCAUUGGUAAGGCCAAGGAGAAGAAUUAUUAGGUAACAUUACUUGCGGAGGAAGAAACCCUUGGUAGCUUUUAUUUUCUUGAGAAACUGAAUCAGCACUUAUCUUUGCUGUAUCACCUGACUGAUGCUUACCAGUCUCUGUAACCGAAGACUCCGAAGAACCGAAACUAAGGAUCGUCCCCGAGUUAUUAUUAUCACAAUCCUCAGAAGUGACUUGCAAGUAAUGGUUUGAAGAAGGCCAUCCUUUGUUCUUGCGACGACCUGAGCCAACAGGAACGUUCCUCAUAGAUCCACCAGCUGUCCAAUACCUCUGACAGUUCCUGCAGAAGUAACGUGGCUGGUUCACGUUGUAGUUGUUGUAAUAACAGAAUUUGGUGUUUGCGCUUUCACAUCUAGGACAUGGAAUAAGCUUGUCCGGUUUCUUGAGAGCCGUUGAUUUCUCUCCUGAUGUAGUACUUGUGGUAGUUGUUGUUGUGAUCUCGCUCUGUUGAUCACAGUUGUUCUUGGAACUUCUUGGUGAUGAAAUCUCAGAUACUGCUUUUGGUGGUUCGUUUAGAUCGGAUAAUAUAUAUGGAUCUUUGAAUUUGUUACUCUCUUGCUCACUUUUUUUAACCGGAACC
rnacentral:lncRNA from 1 species